CAAGCACAAAAACACAAAACACAUGCCAAUAAGGAAAAUGAAGGAAAGACAACCUGUGGGAACAAGAAGAUGCUCUAAAAACUACAAUACAGGCUCCUGAAAUCCUCUUUAAUUUUAAAAGGCCAAGAGUAGUUUGACCUGGUGUCAGAUGGAUAAACUACUGUAUGGCAGUUUCUGGACGGGGCUGGGUUUGAACCCACCACCUCCAACAUAUGGGGCCGGCGCCCCCUACUCCUUUGAGCCACAGGCACUACCCUUCAAAAGCCUUUUGAUAAUGACAUCUACAUUUGAAUUUAUGGAUGUGGCCCAUGUAAUAUGGCACAUUUCAUGCAGUACUUAGAAUGAAAAGUCAAGAUGAGUAUGAAGAGCAAGAGGAGGUUUCAGGCUUUGGUCCCUCUAAAAAAG